rnacentral:rRNA from 1 species
CUACGUGCCAGCAGCCGCGGUAAUACGUAGGUGGCAAGCGUUGUCCGGAAUUAUUGGGCGUAAAGGGCGCGCAGGCGGCUUCUUAAGUCUGUCUUAAAAGUGCGGGGCUUAACCCCGUGAUGGGAUGGAAACUGGGAAGCUCAGAGUAUCGGAGAGGAAAGCGGAAUUCCUAGUGUAGCGGUGAAAUGCGUAGAUAUUAGGAGGAACACCAGUGGCGAAAGCGGCUUUCUGGACGAAAACUGACGCUGAGGCGCGAAAGCCAGGGGAGCGAACGGGAUUAGAUACCCCGGUAGUCCUGGCCGUAAACGAUGGGUACUAGGUGUAGGAGGUAUCGACCCCUUCUGUGCCGGAGUUAACGCAAUAAGUACCCCGCCUGGGGAGUACGACCGCAAGGUUGAAACUCAAAGGAAUUGACGGGGGCCCGCACAAGCGGUGGAGUAUGUGGUUUAAUUCGACGCAACACGAAGAACCUUACCAGGUCUU